AGUUCGGAUCGCAGGCUGCAACCCGCCUGCGUGAAGUUGGAAUCGCUAGUAAUCGCGGAUCAGCAUGCCGCGGUGAAUACGUUCCCGGGCCUUGUACACACCGCCCGUCACACCAUGAGAGUCGGGAACACCCGAAGUCCGUAGCCUAACUUUAACGAGGGGCGCGGCCGAAGGUGGGUUCGGUAAUUGGGUGAAGUCGUAACAAGGUAGC
rnacentral:rRNA from 1 species